AUUGAACGCUGGCGGCAGGCCUAACACAUGCAAGUCGAACGAGUGGCGGACGGGUGAGUAAUGUCUGGGAAAGUGCCUGAUGGAGGGGGAUAACUACUGGAAACGGUAGCUAAUACCGCAUACCAUCGGAUGUGCCCAGAUGGGAUUAGCUAGUUGGUGGGGUAAAGGCUCACCUAGGCUACGAUCCAUAGCGGGUCUGAGAGGAUGACCAGCCACACUGGAACUGGGACACGGUCCAGACUCCUACGGUAGGCAGCAGUGGGGAAGUUUGCACAAUGGGCGAAAGCCUGAUGCAGCCAUGCCGCGUGUAUGAAGAAGGCCUUCGGGUUGUAAAGUACUUUCAGCAGGGAAGCGUUACCUGCAGAAGAAGCACCGGCUAACUCCGUGCCAGCCGCCGCGGUAAUUC
rnacentral:rRNA from 1 species